AUGCAAGUCGGACGGUAGCACAGAGGAGCUUGCUCCUUGGGUGACGAGUGGCGGACGGGUGAGUAAUGUCUGGGGAUCUGCCCGAUAGAGGGGGAUAACCACUGGAAACGGUGGCUAAUACCGCAUAACGUCGCAAGACCAAAGAGGGGGACCUUCGGGCCUCUCACUAUCGGAUGAACCCAGAUGGGAUUAGCUAGUAGGCGGGGUAAUGGCCCACCUAGGCGACGAUCCCUAGCUGGUCUGAGAGGAUGACCAGCCACACUGGAACUGAGACACGGUCCAGACUCCUACGGGAGGCAGCAGUGGGGAAUAUUGCACAAUGGGCGCAAGCCUGAUGCAGCCAUGCCGCGUGUAUGAAGAAGGCCUUCGGGUUGUAAAGUACUUUCAGCGGGGAGGAAGGCGGUGCGGUUAAUAACCGCACCGAUUGACGUUACCCGCAGAAGAAGCACCGGCUAACUCCGUGCCAGCAGCCGCGGUAAUACGAAUGGGUGCAAGCGUUAAUCGGAAUUACUGGGCGUAAAGCGCACGCAGGCGGUCUGUUAAGUCAGAUGUGAAAUCCCCGGGCUUAACCUGGGAGCUGCAUUUGAAACUGGCAGGCUUGAGUC
rnacentral:rRNA from 1 species